rnacentral:rRNA from 2 species
UGAGGAAUCUUCCGCAAUGGGCGAAAGCCUGACGGAGCAACGCCGCGUGAAUGAAGAAGGCCUUCGGGUCGUAAAGUUCUGUCUUCUGGAAAGAAGGCCCAAGAUGCGAAUAGUGUUUUGGGAUGACGGUACCAGAGGAGGAAGCUCCGGCUAACUACGUGCCAGCAGCCGCGGUAAUACGUAGGGAGCGAGCGUUGUCCUGAAUUACUGGGCGUAAAGGGCGCGUAGGCGGGUAUUUAAGUCAGAUGUGAAAGCCCCGGGCUUAACUCGGGGAUUGCAUUUGAAACUGGGUAUCUUGAGGGCAGGAGAGGAAAGUGGAAUUCCUAGUGUAGCGGUGGAAUGCGUAGAUAUUAGGAGGAACACCAGUGGCGAAGGCGACUUUCUGGACUGUACCUGACGCUGAUGCGCGAAAGCAUGGGGAGCAAACGGG